GUCUAUGGCCAUGCUACCCUGAACAAGCUCAAUCCCAUCUGAUCUCAGAAGCUAAGCAGGGUCGGGCUUGGUUAGUACUUGGAUGGGAGACCACCUAGGAAGACCAGGUGCUAUAGGCA
rnacentral:rRNA from 1 species